rnacentral:rRNA from 1 species
GGGACCUACCUUUAGGUACGGAACAACAGUUGGAAACGACUGCUAAUACCGUAUGUGCCCUAUGGGGGAAAGAUUUAUCGCCUAAGGAUGGGCCCGCGUUGGAUUAGCUAGUUGGUGGGGUAACGGCCUACCAAGGCGACGAUCCAUAGCUGGUCUGAGAGGAUGAUCAGCCACACUGGGACUGAGACACGGCCCAGACUCCUACGGGAGGCAGCAGUGGGGAAUAUUGGACAAUGGGGGCAACCCUGAUCCAGCCAUGCCGCGUGAGUGAUGAAGGCCCUAGGGUUGUAAAGCUCUUUCAGCGAGGAGGAUAAUGACGUUACUCGCAGAAGAAACCCCGGCUAACUUCGUGCCAGCAGCCGCGGUAAUACUAAGGGGGCUAGCGUUGUUCGGAAUCUCUGGGCGUAAAGCGCACGUAGGCGGAUUGAUAAGUUAGGGGUGAAAUCCCGGGGCUCGCCUCGGAACUGCCUUUGAUACUGUCUGUCUUGAGUCCUAGAGAGGUGAGUGGAACUCCUAGUGUGGAGGUGAAAUUCGUAGAUAUUCGGAAGAACACCAGUGGCGAACGGCAGCUCACUGGCUCGGUACUGACGCUGAGGUGCUAAA